CGAACGCUGGAGGCCAGCUUGCUGGGUUGGAUGAGUGGCGAACGGGUGAGUAACACGUGAGUAACCUGCCCCCUUCUUUGGGAUAACGGUCGGAAACGGCUGCUAAUACCGGGUAUUCACUCGUCCUUCGCAUGGGGGGUGGUGGAAAGGUUUUUUCUGGUGGGGGAUGGGCUCGCGGCCUAUCAGCUUGUUGGUGGGGUGAUGGCUUACCAAGGCUUUGACGGGUAACCGGCCUGAGAGGGUGACCGGUCACAUUGGGACUGAGAUACGGCCCAGACUCCUACGGGAGGCAGCAGUGGGGAAUAUUGCACAAUGGGCGAAAGCCUGAUGCAGCGACGCCGCGUGAGGGAUGACGGCCUUCGGGUUGUAAACCUCUUUCGCUCAUGGUCAAGCCGCAACAGUGGUUGUGGUGAGGGUAGUGGGUAAGGAAGCACCGGCUAACUACGUGCCAGCAGCCGCGGUAAUACGUAGGGUGCGAGCGUUGUCCGGAAUUAUUGGGCGUAAAGGGCUUGUAGGCGGUUUGUCGCGUCUGCCGUGAAAUCCUCUGGCUUAACUGGGGGCGUGCGGUGGGUACGGGCAGGCUUGAGUGCGGUAGGGGAGAC
rnacentral:rRNA from 1 species